CAUCCUGCAGUACGACCUCUAGAAGGUCGCCGGUGGUGACGGUGGAGGUAGCGGUGAUAGGCUCAGUGGCCGGAAUAGUGUUGGAUUUGGCCAUUUAAAAAGAAUGUGAUGCAAAUAAGAAGUUUUGGAAGGGAGAUAAGCAAAAAUAGCACUCAAAUGACAGUACAGUUGAGGAAAAUGGUGCAGAUUGGGUAAGAGAUAAGCUUGCCGGAAAUCGCCUCGCCGGAGAAUUUGAAAGCAAAGAGUCAGUAAAAGUGAUAAUGAGGGGGGAAGGGGAGUUUUUAUAAGGAGCACGACACAGAACCCCAAGGCGGCUAUUAAAUACUUGAGGUGGGCUCAGGCGUGAAAAUGCGAGCAACGUUUCAAAUAUCAAGAAGUGACUGUACGGCUUCCACAGACAGUUCAUCAUUAUCUGUCAUGACCGUUCAAGUCCUGACCUUUCAAGUCUCCAAUCAUAAAUAUGUUAUGAUUAGAGACUGGGGGGCAAUGUUCGGGAGCGUUUUACCGACCCUCCAUUGGGCCGAAGAUUCAAUACCAGAAGGGCUGGAGAGACCGAUGGGCCGAAGCCCAUGAAGGUGUUGGAGGUGUUCGGGUCGGCAUUUGAGCCCUCCGGGACCAUAGCCGAACCUGGUCUUGUGAUGUUCGGGGUCGGGUCUUCGAGUUCUUUGGGCCGAAGCCCAGGUUAGAUUAUAGGACCGUUUGGGCCUGCACAGUGGGCUCUC
rnacentral:lncRNA from 1 species